rnacentral:rRNA from 1 species
GACGAACGCUGGCGGCGUGCUUAACACAUGCAAGUCGAACGGUGACGGAGAGCUUGCUCUCCUGAUCAGUGGCGAACGGGUGAGUAACACGUGGGCAACCUGCCCCAGACUUCGGGAUAACGCUUCGAAAGAGGUGCUAAUACCGGAUACGAACUCCUUGGGCAUCCUUGGAGUUGGAAAGUUUUUCGGUCUGGGAUGGGCCCGCGGCCUAUCAGCUUGUUGGUGAGGUAACGGCUCACCAAGGCGACGACGGGUAGCCGGCCUGAGAGGGCGACCGGCCACACUGGGACUGAGACACGGCCCAGACUCCUACGGGAGGCAGCAGUGGGGAAUAUUGCGCAAUGGGCGAAAGCCUGACGCAGCAACGCCGCGUGAGGGAUGACGGCCUUCGGGUUGUAAACCUCUUUCAGCAGGGAAGAAGCGAAAGUGACGGUACCUGCAGAAGAAGCACCGGCUAACUACGUGCCAGCCGCCGCCGUAAAAC